rnacentral:rRNA from 1 species
ACCGGCGCACGGGUGCGUAACGCGUAUGCACUUACCCAUUACUGGGGGAUAGCCCGGGGAAACUCGGAUUAAUACCCCAUAGUAUGGCAUCUGUAAAGAUUUAUUGGUAAUGGAUGGGCAUGCGUCUGAUUAGUUAGUUGGUGAGGUAACGGCUCACCAAGACGAUGAUCAGUAGGGGGUCUGAGAGGAUGAUCCCCCACACUGGUACUGAGAUACGGACCAGACUCCUACGGGAGGCAGCAGUAGGGAAUAUUGGUCAAUGGGCGAGAGCCUGAACCAGCCAUGCCGCGUGCAGGAUGACGGCCUUCGGGUUGUAAACUGCUUUUCUACAGGAAGAAAAAGCCCUUGCGAGGGAAAUUGCCGGUACUGUAGGAAUAAGCACCGGCUAACUCCGUGCCAGCAGCCGCGGUAAUACGGAGGGUGCAAGCGUUGUCCGGAUUUAUUGGGUUUAAAGGGUGCGUAGGCGGGUCUUUAAGUCCGUGGUGAAAGCCCAUCGCUCAACGAUGGAACUGCCAUGGAUACUGGAGGCCUUGAAUUCAGUUGAGGUAGGCGGAAUUGAUGGUGUAGCGGUGAAAUGCAUAGAUACCAUCAGAACACCGAUUGCGAAGGCAGCUUACUGCGCUUGAAUGACGCUGAGGCACGAAAGCCGGAGGAGCGACCAGGAUUAGAUACCCUGGUAGGCUCC